UACGUAGGGGGCUAGCGUUGUCCGGAAUCAUUGGGCGUAAAGAGCGUGUAGGCGGCCCGGUAAGUCCGCUGUGAAAGUCCAAGGCUCAACCUUUGAAUGUCAGCGGAUACUGCCGGGCUAGAGUCCGGAAGAGGCGAGUGGAACUCCUGGUGUAGCGGUGGAAUGCGCAGAUAUCAGGAAGAACACCAACGGCGAAGGCAGCUCGCUGGGACGGUACUGACGCUGAGACGCGAAAGCGUGGGGAGCGAACAGG
rnacentral:rRNA from 1 species